CGAGAAAUAUAUGGAAAAGGAUUUAUUGAUGUAUGAAAAGAGGAAAAACGGAUACAAAUCCAGAGCAAAGCUCCACAGUAGAGAAACAAGCUUCUCACUGCCUAACCAUUAAGGUGAAAUGGAAAAUAACAACUAUGCUCAUAACUAAUUCCCACUAUGCUCUUAUUAAGGGAAUUGGAAAUAUCCUAACAGAAUUGCCACCUCAGCUAUCACACAUUCCCUGAGGUCCCUUUCUUAAUCAUUCUCUCAUACACACGCCACACCUUGGGCUCAACAUUUCCUUUGUUAACCAAUAUGUCCCCUUCCUUACUAACAGGCCCAUUCCUAUCACUGACCCUAAACUAAAUAACACAAACUUCAGCAGAAAUAGCCUUGUCACUUGUGA
rnacentral:lncRNA from 1 species